UCCAGACUCCUACGGGAGGCAGCAGUGGGGGAUAUUGCACAAUGGGGGAAACCCUGAUGCAGCGACGCCGCGUGAGUGAAGAAGUAUUUCGGUAUGUAAAGCUCUAUCAGCAGGGAAGAAAAAAGACGGUACCUGACUAAGAAGCCCCGGCUAACUACGUGCCAGCAGCCGCGGUAAUACGUAGGGGGCAAGCGUUAUCCGGAUUUACUGGGUGUAAAGGGAGCGUAGACGGCGAUGCAAGCCAGAUGUGAAAGCCCGGGGCUCAACCCCGGGACUGCAUUUGGAACUGUGUGGCUGGAGUGUCGGAGAGGCAGGCGGAAUUCCUAGUGUAGCGGUGAAAUGCGUAGAUAUUAGGAGGAACACCAGUGGCGAAGGCGGCCUGCUGGACGAUGACUGACGUUGAGGCUCGAAAGCGUGGGGAGCAAACAGGAUUAGAUACCCCCGUA
rnacentral:rRNA from 1 species